rnacentral:rRNA from 1 species
GAUGAACACUAGCGGCAGGCUUAACACAUGCAAGUCGAGGGGCAGCACGAUGUAGCAAUACAUGGGUGGCGACCGGCGCACGGGUGCGUAACACGUAUGGAAUCUGCCCUUUACUGGGGAAUAGCCCUCCGAAAGGAGGAUUAAUGCCCCAUAACAAGCUGAGUGGCAUCACUUGGCUUUGAAAGCUCCGGCGGUAAAGGAUGACCAUGCGCACGAUUAGCUAGUUGGUGAGGUAACGGCUCACCAAGGCUACGAUCGUUAGGGGGCCUGAGAGGGUUAUCCCCCACACUGGUACUGAGACACGGACCAGACUCCUACGGGAGGCAGCAGUGAGGAAUAUUGCGCAAUGGAGGCAACUCUGACGCAGCCAUGCCGCGUGCAGGAAGAAGGCGCUACGCGUUGUAAACUGCUUUUAACCGGGAAGAAACCCCAGGACGUGUCCUGGGUUAACGGUACCGGAGGAAUAAGCACCGGCUAACUUCGUGCCAGCCGCCGCUGUAACAC